GAUGAAGAACGCAGCGAAAUGCGAUAAGUAAUGUGAAUUGCAGAAUUCAGUGAAUCAUCGAAUCUUUGAACGCACAUUGCGCCCCUUGGUAUUCCGAGGGGCAUGCCUGUUCGAGCGUCAUUAUAACCCCUCAAGCUCAGCUUGGUGUUGGGGCCUGCUGCACUGGCAGCCCUUAAAAUCAGUGGCGGCGCCACUCGGCUUCAAGCGUAGUAAUUCUUCUCGCUUCGGAGACCCGGGUGCGUGCUAGCCAGCAACCCCCAACUUUCUCAGGUUGACCUCGGAUCAGGUAGGGAUACCCGCUGAACUUAAGCAUAUCAAUAAGCGGAGGA
rnacentral:misc_RNA from 1 species